rnacentral:rRNA from 2 species
GGACUACUCGGGUUUCUAAUCCUGUUCGCUCCCCACGCUUUCGCGCCUCAGCGUCAGUAUCAUGCCAGGUGGCUGCCUUCGCCAUUGACGUUCCUUCCGAUCUCUACGCAUUUCACCGCUACACCGGAAAUUCCGCCACCCUCUCAUGUACUCUAGUCAGAUAGUUUGCGAUGCACUUCCCAGGUUAAGCCCGGGGCUUUCACACCACACACAUCUCACCGCCUACGCGCCCUUUACACCCAGUAACUCCGAUUAACGCUCGCACCCCCUGUAUUACCGCGGCGGCUGGCAC